rnacentral:RNase_P_RNA from 1 species
CAGGUACAACAGGUAGUUGCUGGUAGCGAAAGUUACGAGAGGAAAGUCCGUGCUACGCGUGAGAUAGGACUCCAUCUAACGGAUGGCCAGAGUAAUUUGAGGGCAAGUGCAACAGAGAGAAGUCAGCCGAAUUUCGGUGAAGGUGAAAGGGUGAGGUAAAAGCUCACCAGUGCUUAUGGUAACAUAGGUAGCUAGGUAAACCCUGUCCGUAGCAAGAGACAUAUGGUAAGAAUCUCACAAAGCCAUUAAAUUGGUAUGGUGUCUCGCUUGAGCGUAUUGGCAACAGUACGCCUAGAUAAAUAACUACCCAACGACAAAACACGGCUUAUCGUUGUGCCUGAUUA